AAGUGGUGACACGAAGCAAAUCCGAGAAAUAAACGUCUCAGUUCGGAUUGUAGUCUGCAACUCGACUACAUGAAGCUGGAAUCGCUAGUAAUCGCGAAUCAGCAUGCCGCGGUGAAUACGUUCCCGGGCCUUGUACACACCGCCCGUCACACCAUGAGAGUCGGGAACACCCGAAGUCCGUAGCCUAACCGAAAGGGGGGGCGCGGCCGAAGGUGGGUUCGAUAAUUGGGGUGAAGUCGUAACAAGGUACC
rnacentral:rRNA from 1 species